rfam:Gossypium raimondii chromosome 12, whole genome shotgun sequence.
AACCCAUGGUGCAAGCACCGUCUCAAUAAGCCCUUAUACCUCUCCCAUGCAUCACAUAGGGUCUCUAAGUCAAUCUGAAUGAAGAGAUAUCAUUCCUUAAUUU